rnacentral:rRNA from 1 species
UUAAAUUGAAGAGUUUGAUCAUGGCUCAGAUUGAACGCUGGCGGCAGGCCUAACACAUGCAAGUCGAACGGUAACAGGAAACAGCUUGCUGUUUCGCUGACGAGUGGCGGACGGGUGAGUAAUGUCUGGGAAACUGCCUGAUGGAGGGGGAUAACUACUGGAAACGGUAGCUAAUACCGCAUAAUGUCGCAAGACCAAAGAGGGGGACCUUCGGGCCUCUUGCCAUCGGAUGUGCCCAGAUGGGAUUAGCUAGUAGGUGGGGUAACGGCUCACCUAGGCGACGAUCCCUAGCUGGUCUGAGAGGAUGACCAGCCACACUGGAACUGAGACACGGUCCAGACUCCUACGGGAGGCAGCAGUGGGGAAUAUUGCACAAUGGGCGCAAGCCUGAUGCAGCCAUGCCGCGUGUAUGAAGAAGGCCUUCGGGUUGUAAAGUACUUUCAGCGGGGAGGAAGGGAGUAAAGUUAAUACCUUUACUCAUUGACGUUACCCGCAGAAGAAGCACCGGCUAACUCCGUGCCAGCAGCCGCGGUAAUACGGAGGGUGCAAGCGUUAAUCGGAAUUACUGGGCGUAAAGCGCACGCAGGCGGUUUGUUAAGUCAGAUGUGAAAUCCCCGGGCUCAACCUGGGAACUGCAUCUGAUACUGGCAAGCUUGAGUCUCGUAGAGGGGGGUAGAAUUCCAGGUGUAGCGGUGAAAUGCGUAGAGAUCUGGAGGAAUACCGGUGGCGAAGGCGGCCCCCUGGACGAAGACUGACGCUCAGGUGCGAAAGCGUGGGGAGCAAACAGGAUUAGAUACCCUGGUAGUCCACGCCGUAAACGAUGUCGACUUGGAGGUUGUGCCCUUGAGGCGUGGCUUCCGGAGCUAACGCGUUAAGUCGACCGCCUGGGGAGUACGGCCGCAAGGUUAAAACUCAAAUGAAUUGACGGGGGCCCGCACAAGCGGUGGAGCAUGUGGUUUAAUUCGAUGCAACGCGAAGAACCUUACCUGGUCUUGACAUCCACAGAACUUUCCAGAGAUGGAUUGGUGCCUUCGGGAACUGUGAGACAGGUGCUGCAUGGCUGUCGUCAGCUCGUGUUGUGAAAUGUUGGGUUAAGUCCCGCAACGAGCGCAACCCUUAUCCUUUGUUGCCAGCGGUCCGGCCGGGAACUCAAAGGAGACUGCCAGUGAUAAACUGGAGGAAGGUGGGGAUGACGUCAAGUCAUCAUGGCCCUUACGACCAGGGCUACACACGUGCUACAAUGGCGCAUACAAAGAGAAGCGACCUCGCGAGAGCAAGCGGACCUCAUAAAGUGCGUCGUAGUCCGGAUUGGAGUCUGCAACUCGACUCCAUGAAGUCGGAAUCGCUAGUAAUCGUGGAUCAGAAUGCCACGGUGAAUACGUUCCCGGGCCUUGUACACACCGCCCGUCACACCAUGGGAGUGGGUUGCAAAAGAAGUAGGUAGCUUAACCUUCGGGAGGGCGCUUACCACUUUGUGAUUCAUGACUGGGGUGAAGUCGUAACAAGGUAACCGUAGGGGAACCUGCGGUUGGAUCACCUCCUUACCUUAAAGAAGC